GAUAUGGCAAACUUGAUAGUAGUUUUUAUUGAGGAAUGGAUAUUUUUGAAAUCUCCUGUGAAAUGAUUUGUAAUAGAUCUAUUAUUGAAGCC